AUUUAGAGAAAUAACAACUUUUGAUUUAUACCGACUGUCUCUAGAGCAAGUGGCAAAGGAUUUGGUGGUUGAUACCCGAGACCCAAGUUCGAAUCUUAGCUGAUUCACAUUUCUAGCUAAGUUUAUUUCUAAAUAAAAUAAACGAAGCGGGUAGCGUGCUACCUAUCUCUCAAAAAAAAAAAAAACAACUUUUGAUUUAUCAAAAUUAAUCGGAUUUGAUUGGUAAAUAUUGGUUGAAUUUUAAAAAAUAACUAUCUACCUAUACCCAAAGCUAUAUUUAUCAAAAAAUAUUAGUUGUAUUAUUCUAAAAAAAAUAAUAAUAUUAGUUGUAACCGGAGGUGUUUGGUUGGGGUAUAAGGGGUGGGAUAA
rnacentral:lncRNA from 1 species